AUUAGCACCGGUUCAAACCGGUGCCAACUUGUAAAAUAAAAAAAAAAGGAUGGGGAAGGAGUUGGCACCGGUUCUCCUUAAACCGGUGGCAAAUAAGCAAGUAAGCACCGGUUCAAACCGGUGGCAUUUAAAAAAAAAACGCGAGUUUGCUGGGUUUGUUGCUUCAACCUGUUCAAUUCAACGACACUUUCUUCAUUUCUCAUGUUUGCUUCAAAAAUUCCUAGAAAGUUUCGCCCUAUUCUCUUCUCCCUCCAUCUCCAUUGAAAGGCUGUGCGAGCUUUCUCCUCUCCAUUGAAGCAGUUAAGCUAAGCGACCUUAAUUACUCACAUUGCUACUUCAAUUCUCUGCAUUUCCUCUUCCCAAACCCUUCCUCCAUUGAAGCUUCCAUUGAAGCUUCGGCCUCCUCACACACGCAGCUUGGCUGGGGUUUGUUCUGCCUCCUCACGCACGCACGCACUCAGUUCUUCUCUUCUGCCUCCCUCCAUGCAUUAUUGAAGCAGCUUCGACCUAGGGCUUGGCAAUUGCUACUUAACUACUCCAUUAAACUCGCAAGGCUCCCCCUCCAUUAAACGCACAAGGCUGCCCCUCCACAAAUGCUAAGAAAUGGGUGUCAAGGGCUUCUAGGGUAAGAUCAUCAGUUUGGAGAGUGGGCGGAAAGCAUCCUGGUAUCUUACUCUGACUGUCCUUGUUCUUGCUCACUAAUAUCAUUCUUAUCUUUUCCCUUAAUCUGGUUUUCUAUUUGUGU